rnacentral:lncRNA from 1 species
UUUUUUCCCCCAAGUAUUCUGAAGAUCUCAAGCACUGUCUAGGAAAUAGGGCCUAUAUUACAGUUGAUAAAAAUAAGAAAUACCUAAAAAUGGAUAGUUCCAUCUGAUAGACAUGAAUUUCAACAGAAAGCUGAGAAUCCGUUCAGUUAGAACUUUGCUGAGCACCUGGCCCAUGCUGAUUGUAGAGGACACAGACGGAUAGCCUUAGUCACUAGGAUCGUGGGAAUGAACAGGCGUGUGUUGUAUUGACCAGAUCCUGGGGACUCCCUCAGGAAAGUGCAGAUACACUGUUACUCUUGGCCAGUGCAGAGGAGCCUGCUGAGUAGA